GAUGACAUCUACACCUGUCAUGUCAGGCUCCUCGCUGUGUCAAGCGGUCACCAGACAAAGACAGAGGCGGAGGUAGACGGGAAAGGCAGGAAGCCGCGAGGCGACAUCUUCAGCUGUCAUGUCUGCACUUAAACGGGGGUCAGGAGAUCGCUGUUUUAACCGAAAAGAGGGAACGAGGGAUGGAGAUGGACACAGAGAGGACAGCUAGGCCUUGGCAGCGUCCUAUCCCUGGGACUGCUGGGUCUUGGCCCUAGCAGUCCUCGUGAAGCUGACCAAUCAGAUUCAGCCGACUUUGGGCUCCCCCGCCGGGUCACGCUGCUCCAGGACUGUCACCUGGUGUUACCACGGAAACAUCACCGCAUCCACCACGUGUCUCCACACGAGACAUAUGACUGCAUCACUACAGGUUGGUGUAUCCAUCCCCUGGACCAGCUGGGCUUUCGGAGACGAAUGGAGGAACUGAUUAAACGUCUCACGGGGCACAAACCGCCAUCAGAUGACCUGGCGUGGGCCAAGAAGAUCAACGGAUAAACACGCG